AGGAUGAACGCUGGCGGUCUGCUUAACACAUGCAAGUCGAACGGGCGUAGCAAUACGUUAGUGGCGGACGGGUGAGUAACGCGUGAGAAUCUACCUUCAGGACGGAGACAACAGUUGGAAACGACUGCUAACCCCCGAUGUACUGAAAAGGCAAAUAUUUAUAGCCUGAAGAAGAGCUCGCGUCCGAUUAGCUAGUUGGAGAGGUAAAAGCUCACCAAGGCGACGAUCGGUAGCUGGUCUGAGAGGACGAUCAGCCACACUGGGACUGAGACACGGCCCAGACUCCUACGGGAGGCAGCAGUGGGGAAUUUUCCGCAAUGGGCGAAAGCCUGACGGAGCAAGACCGCGUGGGGGAAGAAGGCUCUUGGGUUGUAAACCCCUUUUCUUUGGGAGAAAGUUGUGAAAGCAGCCUGACGGUACCAGAGGAAUCAGCAUCGGCUAACUCCGUGCCAGCAGCCGC
rnacentral:rRNA from 1 species